GCCAUUUAUUGUCGGUUUAGAUUAUUUGUGUCGUACUCUCCAUUUGAAUAUCAGUGCAAGGACAUAUGUACAACUCGACGAUGGUACAGAGUUGCUAGAUGCUGUGAUGUUCGGUGAUAUUGCAGAAAACAUAUUCUCAUGUACUGCAGUUCAAUUAAGAUCAUAUUAGGACGAGGUAACUAUAAAAAAAUAAAUAUGUAAAAUUUAUACAUUUUCGUACAUAGAAAUACAUUAAAACUUAUAACUAAUCAUUUUUUUUUUACAGAAACAUAAGUGGUUUGUCCAAAAAACUACGAAGCAAUUAUCAGCCAAAAAAUGGAGAAUUCAGUUGUACGUAGAUGCAAACCGAACAAUGGCUUCAAAGUACAAUCAGUUCACCAUUCAAGCAGUUGAACCAAUGGAAGAUUAGGCAGAAGUUACCUUUUUUUUUUUUUACAGUAAUUUUAUUUUAUUUAGUGUUGAGACUUUUCUUGGUGC